ensembl:lncRNA
GAGACAGAGAGAGAGGUGUUUUUGUUUUUUGGUGCAGAGGCUUCAAAAGGAAUUGUCGUGUGUCUGGAUAAUAACGUGAUUUUUUGACAGGGAAUCCAUAAGAAUAAGCCUCAAAACUCCUAACGAGGAAAGACAAAACAGAGCACUCAUCCCAUACUACAGUGUGUAGUAUCUACAGAAAUGAUUAUAACCUACUGCAUAUGAUUAAACAGAAUGGUCCUUUUGUGUUCAUGCCACAAGAUGGCUGCGGAGUCUACGUGAGUCUCCUGAAUAAAAGAUGCUGGCCCAGAUGGAUGUUCACCGUUGGCCUCCUGCUCUCCGGUUUUGGCAAUAAACCAGAAGAAACUACAGUAAGCACUUGAUCUGGUCAGGGUCACGGCCUAUCCCAGGAACACUAGGCAUGAGGAAGGAAUACAGCCUGGAGGGUGAGCCCAGGAUUGAACCAGGGACUCUGGAGAUGUGAGUUGGCAACACUGUGCCAACGGUGUAAUAUUUUAAAUGCAUAAAUGUGAUGUAAUAUUUUAAAUGUAGAAAUAUUUACCUUGCAGAAUAUUUGCACCAAACCCUGCCUGUGUCCUACAUGCUUUCUUGUCAUCUUUCUUGUAGCGUUACUUAUGAUCCUGGGUUUGCCUCCUACUCUGCCAGAUUUUUAAAAAUAAACAAACAGUUCCGGAAAUUCUACAGGAAUCCCUACAGGAAUAUAUAUAUAUAUAU